GACGAACGCUGGCGGCGUGCCUAAUACAUGCAAGUCGAGCGCAGGAAAUCGACGGAACCCUUCGGGGGGAAGUCGAUGGAAUGAGCGGCGGACGGGUGAGUAACACGUAAAGAACCUGCCCUCAGGUCUGGGAUAACCACGAGAAAUCGGGGCUAAUACCGGAUGGGUCAUCGGACCGCAUGGUCCGAGGAUGAAAGGCGCUUCGGCGUCGCCUGGGGAUGGCUUUGCGGUGCAUUAGCUAGUUGGUGGGGUAAUGGCCCACCAAGGCGACGAUGCAUAGCCGAGCUGAGAGGGUGAACGGCCACACUGGGACUGGGACACGGCCCAGACUCCUACGGGAGGCAGCAGUAGGGAAUCUUCCACAAUGGACGAAAGUCUGAUGGAGCAACGCCGCGUGAACGAUGAAGGCCUUCGGGUCGUAAAGUUCUGUUGUAAGGGAAGAACAAGUGCCGCAGGCAAUGGCGGCACCUUGACGGUACCUUGCGAGAAAGCCACGGCUAACUACGUGCCAGCAGCCGCAGUAA
rnacentral:rRNA from 1 species